GAUGAACGCUGGCGGCGUGCCUAAUACAUGCAAGUCGAGCGAACAGAUGAGGAGCUUGCUCCUCUGACGUUAGCGGCGGACGGGUGAGUAACACGUGGAUAACCUACCUAUAAGACUGGGAUAACUUCGGGAAACCGGCGCUAAUACCGGAUAAUAUCUUGAACCGCAUGGUUCAAUAGUGAAAGACGGUUUUGCUGUCACUUAUAGAUGGAUCCGCGCCGCAUUAGCUAGUUGGUAAGGUAACGGCUUACCAAGGCAACGAUGCGUAGCCGACCUGAGAGGGUGAACGACCACACUGGAACUGAGACACGGUCCAGACUCCUACGGGAGGCAGCAGUAGGGAAUCUUCCGCAAUGGGGGAAAGCCUGACGGAGCAACGCCGCGGGAGUGAUGAAGGUCUUCGGAUCGUAAAACUCUGUUAUUAGGGAAGAACAAAUGUGUAAGUAACUAUGCACGUCUUGACGGUACCUAAUCAGAAAGCCACGGCUAACUACGUG
rnacentral:rRNA from 1 species